rnacentral:rRNA from 1 species
GCAGACGGGUGAGUAAUGUAUAGGAAUCUACCUAGUAGUACGGAAUAAUUGUUGGAAACGACAACUAAUACCGUAUACGCCCUACGGGGGAAAAAUUUAUUGCUAUUAGAUGAGCCUAUAUUAGAUUAGCUAGUUGGUGGGGUAAUGGCCUACCAAGGCAAUGAUCUAUAGCUGAUCUGAGAGGAUGAUCAGCCACACUGGAACUGAGAUACGGUCCAGACUCCUACGGGAGGCAGCAGUGGGGAAUAUUGGACAAUGGGCGAAAGCCUGAUCCAGCCAUGCCGCAUGAGUGAAGAAGGCCUUAGGGUUGUAAAGCUCUUUUAGUGAGGAAGAUAAUGACGGUACUCACAGAAGAAGUCCUGGCUAACUCCGUGCCAGCAGCCGCGGUAAUACGGAGAGGGCUAGCGUUAUUCGGAAUUAUUGGGCGUAAAGAGCGCGUAGGCUGGUUAGUAAGUUAAAAGUGAAAUCCCGAGGCUCAACCUUGGAAUUGCUUUUAAAACUGCUAAUCUAGAGAUUGAAAGAGGGUAGAGGAAUUCCUAGUGUAGAGGUGAAAUUCGUAAAUAUUAGGAGGAACACCAGUGGCGAAGGCGUCUAUCUGGUUCAAAUCUGACGCUGAGGCGCGAAGGCGUGGGGAGCAAACAGGAUUAGAUACCCUGGUAGUCCACGCUGUAAACGAUGAAUGCUAAAUAUAGGAAGGUUACUUUCUGUAUUACAGCUAACGCGUUAAGCAUUCCGCCUGGGGACUACGGUCGCAAGAUUAAAACUCAAAGGAAUUGACGGGGACCCGCACAAGCGGUGGAGCAUGUGGUUUAAUUCGAUGCAACGCGAAAAACCUUACCACUCCUUGACAUGGAAAUUAUACCUAUUCGAAGGAAUAGGGUCGGUUCGGCCGGAUUUCACACAGGUGUUGCAUGGCUGUCGUCAGCUCGUGUCGUGAGAUGUUGGGUUAAGUCCCGCAACGAGCGCAACCCUCAUCCUUAGUUACCAUCAGGUAAUGCUGGGGACUUUAAGGAAACUGCUAGUGAUAAGCUGGAGGAAGGUGGGGAUGAUGUCAAGUCAUCAUGGCCCUUAUGGAGUGGGCUACACACGUGCUACAAUGGUGGCUACAACGGGCUGCAAAGUCGCGAGACUAAGCUAAUCCCUUAAAAGCCAUCUCAGUUCGAAUUGCACUCUGCAACUCGAGUGCAUGAAGUUGGAAUCGCUAGUAAUCGUGGAUCAGCAUGCCACGGUGAAUACG